GCAACAACAUCCUCACACUUGACGGCUCACUCUCUUUCCCUCAGUUUUCACUUUUGGCCUCUCCCUCAAAGUCAUGCCAAGAAAUUCUCCAUUUUAUUGUCAUGAGCAAAAUCACACUAACACAUUCUUUCAUCUAAUUACAUAGAACAUGAUAGAUAAGUAACACUCUUCCUCUUUUUCUUUUGUCGUGAGUUGAGAGAGAAGAAAGGUGGGAAAUUUUUUGAAUUGCUUAGGAAAUACUAAAAGAAGGUCAAGAUGGAAGUAUGGGGAAUAUGUGAGCUUAAAAAUUUGUUUUAUCUUUCAAUUGUGUGUGUUAUUCAAACCCUAAAGGGUCAAAUCUUGGUGCUUUUAGUUGAAAGGAAUUAAACUCAUUCAUUCGCUUGGAACUCUUUGAGUUUGCUGCAACGAAGAGAUAAUGCAGUCUAUGAGUUAUAUGCUCAUAGUGAAAAUAGAGAUAAUUACCGUUCGCUGCAACGAAGAGAGAAUGCAGCCUAUGAAUUAAACGCUCGUAGUGAUUUGAUAUGAUUACUAUUCCCUACAACGAAGAGAUAAUGCAGCCUAUGAGUCAAGCACUCGUAGUAUAUUCAAAUUGAAAUAGGCGUCGUCUGAUGCAAUGAAGCGAUAAUACAUCCCACGUGCUAUAUAUGCUCGUAGAUACCGUUCACCACAACGAAGAGACAAUGUGGUUUAUGUGAACAUAAAUGAGAUAAAUGAUAUGAGAUAUGACAAGCUUAUUGUUUUCAAAA